rnacentral:antisense_RNA from 1 species
AUCCGAGGCGGGCUUCCCUCGGAAAACGGAGGGUUGAAACCCAGAAAGCUCCUCGGAGCCCUUCUGAGGUCCGGGCGAUCUGGGCAGAGACCUCUCAGGUGGCAAGGAAUUAAGGGCAGCGCGAACGACGGUCCCUAGACAAGUAUAAAGCCUCCCCCGAGUGUGUCCGGCGCUCAGGGGGUGGACCGGGGUGUUGGUUUCAAGGAGGGGGCCAUCGUUUGCACCACGGCGUCCAGAAAUACUCAUCCUUUGCCCUUCGGGGAGGCAACAGAGCAGCCAACUGACUGUUCUGGCCAAAGAGACUGGAGAUCCAGUAUCAGCAAGCUACUUUCUUGGUAAACCUCCAUUUCCCAAUGCUCAUCUUUGUCCUCUACCCCCACCCAUCCCAAGGCAAAUGAUGAAAACAUCUAUUGGAUCCAGCCUUUGCUAUCUUCUCCAUGCUGCUCAUAGUGGGUCUAAAAAUGUUCCAUUCUCGGUAAUGUUUGGUAGGUCUCAAACAUCCUCACGAAAUGUUCCCCAAAUGUUCUGCCCCAGCUAAGCAACUAAUAACAAUGGGAAGAUGCAGAAAAAAAAAUGCAUGGAGCAUAAUGUUAGUUUUGGGACUGGUCAGUGGCAAUGUUUUAGAGAUGCCAUGAAGAAUUCCUGGUAAUAAUGCUUUUUCCUACAGCAUUUAGCACUGAAUACUAUGAGAUUACGGCUAAAAGAUGGUCAAGACUGCCUCAGCCAUUAGGAUCAGAAUUCUAAGUUCCAAAGAAGAGCAAACUCAAGAGGAUUUCCUCAGGCCUCUGCCUAUAGAUGCUGCUGGAGGAGAACAGGUGCUAUACUCAAAACAUUCUCAUUUUAUUUAUAUUCUCCCUGAACUAGUACUGAACUCCAUAACCCCAGACUCAAAUAACAGAAAUAAAAGCCAUCUCAUUGAUUAUAAGCUCUCUAGUUAUUACAAAAAUAAAUAAGCAUCAAUCAACCAACAGGCAUCAGAAUGAGAAAAUCACUGAUUUGAGAACAUUCAGGCUGCAGGAAAAGAACACUUUUUGUUAAUAUGUAACUGUAUCUUCAGUAGUAUAGAAAAAUGAGAAGAACGAGAGUUCUUACCUGGAUUUGUGGCCCACUUAAAGUAGAGCACCUGAGAGAUGCUGGAAAAUCAUAAAGAUAAAUAACCAAUCUAACAAAUUCCUGCCAUGAGACCAAAGUGAUCCUUGACUACUCUAUUAGUAAGCGAUUCUGAGCCAAGAGUACUAACCUGUAAGUGGAGUGGUGGUUGGCCCAUUAGAAAUCUCUGAAAGAUCUAAACAUAGCAGUUACCUUCCUAAUGGACUCAUACCUCUCAAUUCCCUCUCCUAAAAAAUACUUCUGGGCUGGCCCCAGUGGCUCACACCUGUCAUCUCAGCACUUUGGGACGCCAAGGUGGGAGGAUCGCUUGAGGACAAGAGUUUGAGACCAGCUCGGUGGAAACAUAGCACGAUCCCGUCUCUACCAAAAAAAGGAAAAAAAAAAAAA